GAUGAACGCUAGCGGCAGGCCUAAUACAUGCAAGUCGAACGAGAUUGAGGAGCUUGCUCUUCAUGAAAGUGGCGCACGGGUGCGUAACGCGUAUGCAACCUACCUUAAUCAGGGGGAUAGCCUCUCGAAAGAGAGAUUAACACCGCAUAAAAUCACAGUCUGGCAUCAGAUAAUGAUCAAAUAUUUAUAGGAUUAAGAUGGGCAUGCGUGACAUUAGUUAGUUGGUGAGGUAACGGCUCACCAAGACCACGAUGUCUAGGGGAUCUGAGAGGAUGACCCCCCACACUGGUACUGAGACACGGACCAGACUCCUACGGGAGGCAGCAGUAAGGAAUAUUGGUCAAUGGAGGCAACUCUGAACCAGCCAUGCCGCGUGCAGGAAGACGGCCCUACGGGUUGUAAACUGCUUUUAUACGGGAAUAAACCUCAUUACGUGUAAUGAGCUGAAUGUACUGUAAGAAUAAGGAUCGGCUAACUCCGUGCCAGCCGCCGCGGUAACAC
rnacentral:rRNA from 1 species